CUGCCGGUGACAAACCGGAGGAAGGUGGGGAUGACGUCAGGUCAUCAUGGCCCUUACGGCCAGGGCUACACACGUGCUACAAUGGUAGGUACAGAGAGCAGCCACCUCGCAAGGGGGAGCGAAUCUACAAAACCUAUCUCAGUUCGGAUCGGAGUCUGCAACUCGACUCCGUGAAGUCGGAAUCGCUAGUAAUCGCCGAUCAGCAUUUGCGGCGGUGAAUACGUUCCCGGGCCUUGUACACACCGCUCGUCA
rnacentral:rRNA from 14 species